UGACUACAAAGAUGGCGUUUACCUAAGC
rnacentral:sRNA from 1 species